rnacentral:rRNA from 1 species
UGGGGAAUAUUGGACAAUGGGCGCAAGCCUGAUCCAGCCAUGCCGCGUGAGUGAUGAAGGGCCUUAGGGUUGUAAAGCUCUUUCGCCGACGAAGAUAAUGACGGUAGUCGGAGAAGAAGCCCCGGCUAACUUCGUGCCAGCAGCCGCGGUAAUACGAAGGGGGCUAGCGUUGUUCGGAAUCACUGGGCGUAAAAGCGCACGUAGGCGGAUUGUUAAAGUCAGGGGUGAAAGCCUGGAGCUCAACUCCAGAACUGCCCUUGAUACUGGCAAUCUCGAGUCCGGAAGGAGGUAAGUGGAACUGCGAGUGUAGAGGUGAAAAUUUCGUAGAUAUUCGCAAGAAACACCAGUGGCGAAGGCGGCUUACUGGUCCGGUACUGACGCUG